AUGAUGAAAUCCUUGAGAGUUUUACUGGUGAUCCUGUGGCUUCAGUUAAGCUGGGUUUGGAGCCAACAGAAGGAGGUGGAGCAGGAUCCUGGACCACUCAGUGUUCCAGAGGGAGCCAUUGUUUCUCUCAACUGCACUUACAGCAACAGUGCUUUUCAAUACUUCAUGUGGUACAGACAGUAUUCCAGAAAAGGCCCUGAGUUGCUGAUGUACACAUACUCCAGUGGUAACAAAGAAGAUGGAAGGUUUACAGCACAGGUCGAUAAAUCCAGCAAGUAUAUCUCCUUGUUCAUCAGAGACUCACAGCCCAGUGAUUCAGCCACCUACCUCUGUGCAAUGAGCG